CACUGCCUCUUACCUUUGAGGUGAAUUCUAUUUUCAGUGAGAGAGCAUCUUCAGUUACAGUCGACCUCGACCUGGUCCUCAUGCUGCUGAGGCUCUUGCUGUUGAUCUGUGCUCCACUCUGCGAACCAACUGGGCUAUUCCUGACAGCCAGCCCCUCUCGGCCCACAGAGGGUAAGUCAAUGACCCUGGCCUGUAAGACCUUUCCACAGAAGUUAGAUGGCCAGCACCAGUUCCGCUUCUACAAAGAUAACCUGGCUCUAGGACUGGACUGGAACAGCUUCCCAGAACUCCAGAUUCCUGCCGCGUGGAAGGAGGACUCAGGAUCCUACUGGUGUGAAGCAAAGAGCAUGCAACAAAAAGUCACACGGAGCCCAAGAGUCCUGAUAGAAGUGCACAGAGUCCCCAUCAGUAACGUAAGCUUGAAGAUACAACCUCCAGAUGGACACCUGGUGGAGGGAGAGAAGCUUGUUCUUGUCUGCUUGGUUGCUGAAGGCACAGGAGAUAUCACCUUCUUCUGGUACAAAGGGGCCUUGGGUUUAAACCUGGAAGUGAAGACCCAGCGUUCACUGACGGCACAGUUUGAGAUUCCUGCAGUGACAGAAAGUGAUGCUGAGCAAUAUUACUGUGCAGCUGACAAUAGCUUUGGCCCUAGGCUCAGCGAGCUGGUGAGCAUCACUGUCAAAAUUCCAGUGUCUCGCCCUGUCCUCACCCUCACGGCCCUCAGGGCCCAGGUUGUGGUGGGGGACGUGGUCCAACUUCACUGCGAGGCCCGGAGAGGCUCUCCCCCGAUCCAAUACUGGUUUUAUCAUGAGGAUGUCACCUUGAAGAACAGCUCAGCCCCCUCUGGAGGAGGAGUGUCCUUCAACCUCUCUCUGACAGCAGAACAUUCUGGAAACUAUUUCUGUGAGGCCAAAAAUGGCCGGAGGGUCCAGCGCAGCGAGGUGGUGCCACUCAACAUCACAGGGCCUGCAGAAGACAGAAAAGAACUUCUUACUUCAGGAGCCAUUGGCAUCGUUGGUUUCAUCACUAUGGCCCUAUUAUUUUGCUGUUGGCUCAAAAGAAGAAUAGGAAGACGUUCAGCCAGGGAUCCACCCAGGAAUCCUCCCAGCCCUGCACCCCAAGAAUCCAACUACCUCAACUCUCAAGCCCCAGGGCAACUACAGCCUGAAUACGAAAAUGUGAACCUUGUAAGUGGAGACAAGAUUUACUCUUUGGUGUACUGCGUGCAGCAGGAACAGCACUCAGCAGUAGAUGGCAGCGCUGGAGAUGGUACCCACUAUGCACUCCCUGCAGACCCCAGUGCAGCUGCCUAGUUGCUGUUGUUGACCCAUCCAGUACUCUGUGGGCACAGAAAUGCUGAGAGACAAACCCCCGGGGAUCCAUACUGAGGACAAGGACUCCUUGGACAUCUAUUCGAGGCUGAAGAAGGCAGAUCUUACAGAUGUGGACUAUGAAGAUGCUAUGUAAAGAAGGUUCUGCUCUUUGGAAACCUCCAUGACCCCACACCUCAUAACUAAAAUGCCCUUCGGAAAUCCUGGGGGAUUCCAUUACACCUCAUCCAGGUGUUUUCCUCCAUAAGACGAUUUCUGCAUCUCCUGGGAAGUGAUGUUAGCUCCAGCUUUGAAGGGAUCACCCAGAAGAACCAACAAGAACUCAGGAAUGGGAAGAACUUUGUUGUCAGAACCCAAUUCCCAUUGGUCCUUUCAGGUACAGGUCAAACUGUGCUCUAACUUUUUACAGGAGAAAACAGGACGGGAUAAAAGAACUUGAGAUCUUGGGGUAGAGGGACAGUGAAGCUUAGAGUACACAAACCCAAGACUUGUGAUUUUGUGGGACUGCUCCAUACAGAGAGCUACGUCCACCUUCAAGUGCUUUCUCUGCUCAGACAGUACAGAGCUCUAACCCUACCACUUACAUUAAUCAUCCUAUUUCUGCAUAAAAUAUGUGACUCAGUGCAUUUGGGGUCACUGUUACCAAGUUAGAAUUAAAGCAAAGUUACAUAAAAAGUUAUUGUGGCUACACUCAAUUUUAACACCAUGUUUUGUAUGCAUGGGCCAGUCUCGGUGCUCCCCUAUUUAUAAUGAGAUGUAAUCUUAGUAGGUUUCACUGCAUCCAAAGUUCUGUAUUUGUUGCAGCCUCUAGAAGCUUUAUGAAUAUAAUUCUUUUUUAAUUUACAAACUUUUUGAAAAUACGUGAUAACAUGAUGUGAAGUCUGUAUUUUAAUUUUAAAACAAUCAUAAGCUAACAAAUAAGUUAAAACAUUUUAAAAUUAUGUAAUAUAAAAAUCAAACCUUCCCUAUAAACUGACACCAUAAGUGGUACCCAUUGUUAAAUACUUAGUAUUAUUAAAAAUCUUCAUUCUGCCCACAUUUUUAAAUUUUUUUGUAGAAACCCAUCUACAUAUGUGUGAAUAUAAAUUUAGAAGUAUACCUAUGUAAUAAAAUAUUACAAAAUAUUUUCAAGUCUGCAUAUAGAUUAUUGUACUAUUGUAAAAGGUUGUGUAGUACCCUGUUAUAUGAUAAAUCAUAAUAUGUAUUUUUCUUUUUUAUUUUGUGUUUCUUCUAUUUUUUCUUUUUUAUUGAGGUAACAUUGAUUUAUAACAUUAUGUAAGUUUUAUGUGUAUAUUCUAUUUUUUAAACUGAAGUAUAGUUGAUUUGCAA